GAGCACGUAGGUGGGUUUGUAAGUCAGACGUGAAAGCCUUCUGUUCAACGGAAGAAUUGCAUCUGAAACUACAAACUUUGAGUGUAGGAGGGGAGAAUGGAACUUCUGGUGGAGCGGUGAAAUGCGUAGAUAUCAGAAGGAACGCCGGCGGCGAAAGCGAUUCUCUGGCCUAUUACUGACACUCAGUGUGCGAAAGCUAGGGGAGCAAACGGGAUUAGAUACCCCGGUGGUCCUAGCCGUAAACGAUGGGCACUAAGUAGAGGGGU
rnacentral:rRNA from 1 species